UACGUAGGGGGCUAGCGUUGCUCGGAAUCACUGGGCGUAAAGCGCACGUAGGCGGAUUGCUAAGUCAGGGGUGAAAUCCUGGAGCUCAACUUCAGAACUGCCUUUGAUACUGGCGAUCUUGAGUCCGGGAGAGGUGAGUGGAACUGCGAGUGUAGAGGUGAAAUUCGUAGAUAUUGGGAAGAACACCAGUGGCGAAGGCGGCUAUCUGGACGGUUUCUGACGCUAAGACACGAAAGCGUGGGGAGCAAACAGG
rnacentral:rRNA from 1 species